UACGUAGGGUGCGAGCGUUAAUCGGAAUUACUGGGCGUAAAGCGUGCGCAGGCGGUUUUGUAAGCCCGAUGUGAAAUCCCCGGGCUUAACCUGGGAAUGGCAUUUGGGACUGCAAGGCUGGAGUGCGGCAGAGGAGACUGGAGUUCCUGGUGUAGCAGUGAAAUGCGUAGAUAUCAGGAGGAACACCGAUGGCGAAGGCAGGUCUCUGGGCUGACACUGACGCUCAUGCACGAAAGCGUGGGGAGCAAACAGG
rnacentral:rRNA from 1 species